rnacentral:rRNA from 1 species
UACAGAGGGGGCAAGCGUUGUUCGGAAUUACUGGGCGCAAAGGGCGCGUAGGCGGCCCGCUAAGUCGAACGUGAAAUCCCCGGGCUCAACCCGGGAACUGCGUCCGAUACUGGCAGGCUUGAAUCCGGGAGAGGGAUGCGGAAUUCCAGGUGUAGCGGUGAAAUGCGUAGAUAUCAGGAAGAACACCCGUGGCGAAGGCGGCUCUCUGGGACGGUACUGACGCUGAGACGCGAAAGCGUGGGGAGCGAACAGG